GUUGAACGCUGGCGGCAGGCCUAACACAUGCAAGUCGAGCGGAGCGGCGGACGGGCGGGUAAUGACCAGGAGGCUGCCUGGUCGAGGGGGAUAAGGUCCGGAAAGGGGCGCUAAGACCGCAUACGAGUAGAUGUACCUAGGGCGGAGUAGCUAGUUGUGGUGGCAAAGGCCUACAAAAGCGACGUACCGUAACUGGUCUGAGAGGAUGAUCAGUCACACUGGAACUGAGACACGGUCCAGACUCCUACGGGAGGCAGCAGUGGGGAAUAUUGGACAAUGGGCGAAAGCCUGAUCCAGCAAUGCCGCGUGUGUGAAGAAGGUCUUCGGAUUGUAAAGCACUGUAAGUUGGGAGGCGUUAAAAAAAGAAUAAGCACCGGCUAACUUCGUGCCAGAAGACGCGGUAAUUC
rnacentral:rRNA from 1 species